rnacentral:rRNA from 1 species
UUGCCUAGUAACGGCGAGUGAAGCGGCAACAGCUCAAAUUUGAAAUCUGGCGCAAGCCCGAGUCGUAAUUUGUAGAGGAUGCUUCUAGGUAGCGACCGGUCUAAGUUCCUUGGAACAGGACGUCAUAGAGGGUGAGAAUCCCGUAUGUGACCGGCCCGCACCUUCUACGUAGCUCCUUCGACGAGUCGAGUUGUUUGGGAAUGCAGCUCUAAAUGGGAGGUAAAUUUCUUCUAAAGCUAAAUACCGGCCAGAGACCGAUAGCGCACAAGUAGAGUGAUCGAAAGAUGAAAAGCACUUUGGAAAGAGAGUUAAAAAGCACGUGAAAUUGUUGAAAGGGAAGCGCUUACAACCAGACUUCUGGGCGGUGUUCCGCCGGUCUUUUGACCGGGUCUACUCGCCGUCCCGAGGCCAACAUCAUCUGGGACCGCUGGAUAAGACCUCAGGAAUGUAGCUUCCCUCGGGAAGUGUUAUAGCCUGUGGUGAUGCAGCGCGUCUCGGGUGAGGUCCGCGCUUCGGCAAGGAUGUUGGCGUAAUGGUUGUCAGCGGCCCGUCUUGAAACACGGACCAAGGAGUCUAACAUCUAUGCGAGUGUUCGGGUGUCAAACCCCUACGCGUAAUGAAAGUGAACGGAGGUGGGGAAGCGUAAGCUGCACCAUCGACCGAUCCUGAUGUCCUCGGAUGGAUUUGAGUAAGGAGCAUAGCUGUGGGGACCCGGAAAGAUGGUGAACUAAUGCCUUGAAUUAGGGGUGAAGCCAGGAGGGAAACUCUGGUGGGAGGCUUCGCAGCCGGUUCUGACGGUGCAAAUCGAUCGUCAAAAUUUGGGGUAUAGGGGGCGAAAGGACUAAAUCGAAACUCAUC